GACGAACGCUGGCGGCGUGCUUAACACAUGCAAGUCGAACGGGAUUUCGUAAACAGACGCCUCGGUGGAAGAUUACUAAUGAGAGUGGCGAACGGGUGAGUAACGCGUGAGCAACCUGCCUAUGACAGUGGGAUAGCCUCGGGAAACCGGGAUUAAUACCGCAUAAAAUCGUAGAAACACAUGUUUUAACGGUCAAAGAUUUAUCGGUCAUAGAUGGGCUCGCGUCUGAUUAGCUAGUUGGUGAGAUAACAGCCCACCAAGGCGACGAUCAGUAGCCGGUUCUGGAGGAAGGACCGGCAAAAUUGGAACGAGGACCCGGUCCAAACCCCACCGGAAGGAGGAGGGGGGGAUAAUGGCAAAUGGGGGAAACCCUGAUGCAGCGACGCCGCGUGAACGAAGAAGGUAUUCGUAUCGUAAAGUUCUGUCCUAUGGGAAGAUAAUGACAGUACCAUAGAAGAAAGCUCCGGCUAAAUACGUG
rnacentral:rRNA from 1 species